CCUAAAAAAGACCCCCCCACAAAAAAAAAAACAAUUAGUGCUUUUCUAGAAAAAGGUACCAUUAUUAAAGUAAAUAUUAAAUGAUUUUAGAAUUGGUGGAGGAACUCUGUUUGUGAACCAAAAAAAGCUCAUUUGUAGCAGAUGCAUGUAUAAUACAAAAAUUUUUAUCUCAAAUAAUAAAUCAUAAUACUGUCCUGUAAGCAAGAAACUCAACUGGUGACAAGGGACAGAGUGACAAGCCCAAACACACACUGUAUCUGAUGAGCUGCUACUAAACAUAGACACCAGGACAAAAAAACAUCACACAUUAUAAUUUUUAAAAAACUACCGUGUAUAACAGCUGUUUUAAAUGAUGUUUUUGCAGAAAAGAACCAUGCAUAAAGAAAUGCAAAGGAAGCUCCAAGUUUAAAGUCAAAAUAAGGGUGGGAAAUUGAGGCAAGAAUAAGAAUUGCAUAACAUUCUACUUUGUAAUCCUCCAAACAGAAAAUAAGUAGUUGUGCUAAAUGCUGCACACAACGCACAAAAUGGUCGGCAAACCAGUGCUCCCUGAAAAUGGAAGAAAUUGGUAACUGCAACAGGAAAUGUCAAUGGAAAGAACCAGAAAGGGGGUACAAAGUGAUCAUUACAAACAAGUCAGAAGUGAACACAAAACAACCUGGCGCAGCUGACAGAAACCACCGUACAUGGUGGCCCACCAAGUCCUCAGGAAGAGGCAGUGGCGUCUGGGCUGCGCUGCCCGGGGAGCACUCCAUCAGCUGCGGAGCAGCGUUCUGCAUAAGCACCUCCAGAGGGAAAGCUGCUCAACCGGUGUGGGAACGUGUCCGCACAGAGAAUGGGUGGCAGUGCCACCACCUGGCAGGGGCUCAGACUUCCAGCAAGUAAGGGCCAGAGAGGCUGCUGAUACUCUACAGUGCCCAGGACAGUCUCACCAAGCCACCAGCCCCUGGCCAUAAAUGAUCCAGUCCAAAAUGUCAGCAGUGCCCAGGCAGAGAAAUCUCAUCCUAAAGCAUGGCAGGUGGAAGAGGAGACUGCUGGACACUUCUGUGGCCAAGCGUAUUUAAAAAAUGCUACACACUGUGAACUCCUUUCCAAGAUUCAUGAUGCAUAUAAGUACUUUAACAGCUGUAAGUCCUACAGAAAAUGAAACCGCACAACUGUGUUUAACCUAGCCCAUCUGAACAUCAAUGUAUAGAACACUAUGACUGUGGCUGGACCGAACGCUUUUUAGCAUCCCCCAAAGCCAGUGUUCUAAUGGUAGAAACGGGUACUGAUGAUACAGAGACCAUGGCUCACCACUGUGCUGAGAAUGGAAAAAUAAAAUCCUGUUGUUGAGAUGAGCUCCAGCAGUCUGUCAACACAUAACGGCAAAGCCAGUGUGAGCACCAGCCACACAGGCAGAGACUCAAGCCUGCCACAAAAGGCCCCUGUCUCCAGCCACUGGAAUGAGAUUCUGGGGAUAUAAAAUAGGAAGCCAGAUAGUGCUGACCAGAAAGGACAGAGAUUUAGGUUUAUCAAGGUCAUUUAACAAAGAAGUAGCUGCUAGUUUGGGGGGAAACUCUAGCGGGCACUAUCUUAGCCACAGAUCACCUCUCUUCAGCAGUGGCCUUACGGACUACAGCCUUAUUUUCCUGAGUCUGUGCCUAUAUGUGAUUCACCAAUUCUAAAGCACGCAUUUUGGAGUAAGCGUAUGAUGACAAGUCCUCUCUGGGUGUCAACAGAGCCUCUGUGAAGGCACAGUGUCUGCUUAGGGUUCUCUAACUACCUCGCUGGGCCAACACAAAACAACACAUGCUACAAUGAAAUGCAACCCAGAGAACACGAAGUGGCGGCUUCUGCUGCAGUGGUUACGUGGUGACUGGCCAGUCCUCAGAAAGUUGAUGGGAAGGAUAUGAGCCUCUGUAACUUCACAGAAAAAAAAAAUGAAAUCUGCAAAGUGCAUCUCCUAGACAGACAGCAAAAAUACCAGCUCCUUCAUAUAUCACCACUAUAAACCACUGUCGCAACAGAAAAGGCCCUGCUCACCCUUGCACCUCCUUCUCAAACCUGCUGUCACAUUUUCUCAAAGAAAAGCAGGGAAA